rnacentral:rRNA from 1 species
AUUGAACGCUGGCGGCAUGCCUUACACAUGCAAGUCGAACGGCAGCACGGGGGCAACCCUGGUGGCGAGUGGCGAACGGGUGAGUAAUGCAUCGGAACGUGUCCUCUUGUGGGGGAUAACCAGUCGAAAGAUUGGCUAAUACCGCAUGAGAUCGAGAGAUGAAAGCGGGGGACCCGAGGGUAACUUCGGGCCUCGCGCGAGAGGAGCGGCCGAUGCCGGAUUAGCUAGUUGGUGGGGUAAGAGCCUACCAAGGCGACGAUCCGUAGCUGGUCUGAGAGGACGACCAGCCACACUGGGACUGAGACACGGCCCAGACUCCUACGGGAGGCAGCAGUGGGGAAUUUUGGACAAUGGGCGCAAGCCUGAUCCAGCCAUGCCGCGUGUGUGAAGAAGG